GAGGGAGGAGAAAGCUGUGGCGGUCCAAACAGGGCUUACCCCCUGUGAACGCGCCAGACGAGAGCCCACUUGGCACCCACCGGCGGGAUGACUGCUCCUGGCCGUGGAAGGGGACGUGGCACCUGAGGAGAGCCUGAAGGAAGGAUUUUGGCCUCUGGACGUGGGAAGGCAGCCAGUCCAGCCAGAGAGACUGGAUAUGUGAUUGGAAGGAAGAGACUGGGAAAAACUAUUGUUUUAGCUCCCUCUGCUGGUAGUGAAUGAAUCUCUUAGCAGAACCCUAACUGAUGAAAGAAACGGAUGACACCCCCUUACCAUUGUUGCUACACUCUCUGUGGUAAAGGGUUCUUCGGACCUGUAAUGCAAGAGGCAUUUCAAAGUUUGGAUCGCCCUUAAAAAGAAAAUGCCAAGUAUGUUAAAUUGUGCACUUAGUUUUCAAUGUGGAAGAAUGAAUUCCAGAUUCAAUGAACUAACACAAUUCUUCAGAGCUCUAAAGUAUAUUUGCAAUUAAGACACUGGACUUGCUGUGCACUGGCUUAUUCUUUCUCCUGGAAAGUUUUGUUUCACUGUGAAACCUAAAAUCCUGCCAUUGAUCUGUACUCACAAAACCCUGUUGAUUUAAACAGGACUCCCAGAGGUGGAACAACAGUGAAACCAGGAGACUAGAUUUACUGAGCUUGGGUUACAGGAAACAUAUUUAAUAGCAGACAGUUCCUGUUUUCAUUGUUUUCCAUCAAAGUUCCUACAAAAUCAGAUUGUCUUUAAAUAGAUGGUUCUGCCAUUGGGACAAGGUUCAGUUUCACAUCCCUAAAGAAAUAAAGAGUUUUGUGAAAAUUCACUCUACCUUGGCCUCAUGUAUAAUAGGCCCAAGUCAAGCCAAAAAGAUCAAGGUGGAUAUCAUGCUAAAACACUGAUAGAAUAACAACACCAAAGAUGUGAAACACAUACUGUUUUGGACUCUUUAUUGUAGCCCUCAAUAACCAAGGAAUAAUUGCUGGUGGACAGAAGUGGAAAGGGAUUUCACUUGAGAGCAAUCCCAUUCUGUCUGUUUUACAAGCAUCAUACAGGUUGGUCUUAAAGGUUUCUGAGGAAAGAAAGGAGGGGAAGUAGUCUGAGAAAAUUAUCUAUCACCUGUGAUUGAGCUCAUUGUUUGGAAGGAUCCUGGGUUUGGUAGGAUUCUUGGAGUUUUGCCCUGAAAGAGAUGAACUCCAAGCAAAUAGUGAUAAAGCUAAUGUUAAUAAUGAUGAUGAUAAUGGUGGCUAAUGCUUAUUGGGUGCCUAGUUUGUGUUUCAGGUCCUGUGCUAAGCACUAAUUUCAUUUAAUGCAAUAACAGUUCAUAAUGUUUGGACUGACUCCUCCACUGUGGAUGUCUGCCUAGGGUAAUGGUCAAGGGGAGGUGUUAUAGGGUCUUUAGUCCUC